rnacentral:rRNA from 1 species
CUGCCAGCAGCUGCGGUAAUACGUAGGGUGCGAGCGUUAAUCGGAAUUACUGGGCGUAAAGCGUGCGCAGGCGGUUGUGCAAGACAGAUGUGAAAUCCCCGGGCUCAACCUGGGAACUGCAUUUGUGACUGCACGACUGGAGUGCGGCAGAGGGGGAUGGAAUUCCGCGUGUAGCAGUGAAAUGCGUAGAUAUGCGGAGGAACACCGAUGGCGAAGGCAAUCCCCUGGGCCUGCACUGACGCUCAUGCACGAAAGCGUGGGGAGCAAACAGGAUUAGAUACCCUGGUAGUCCACGCCCUAAACGAUGUCAACUGGUUGUUGGGAGGGUUUCUUCUCAGUAACGUAGCUAACGCGUGAAGUUGACCGCCUGGGGAGUACGGCCGCAAGGUUGAAACUC